UACGGGGGGGGGGCAAGCGUUGUUCGGAAUUACUGGGCGUAAAGGGCUUGUAGGUGGCCAACUAAGUCAGACGUGAAAUCCCUCAGCUUAACUGGGGAACUGCUUCUGAUACUGGAUGGCUUGAGUUUGGGAGAGGGAUGCGGAAUUCCAGGUGUAGCGGUAGAAAUGCGUAGAUAUCUGGAGGAACACCGGUGGCGAAGGCGGCAUCCUGGACCAACACUGACACUGAAAAGCGAAAGCCAGGGGAGCAAACGGG
rnacentral:rRNA from 1 species